rnacentral:rRNA from 1 species
UACGAAGGGGGCUAGCGUUGCUCGGAAUCACUGGGCGUAAAGGGUGCGUAGGCGGUUCUUUAAGUCAGGGGUGAAAUCCUGGAGCUCAACUCCAGAACUGCCUUUGAUACUGAGGAUCUUGAGUUCGGGAGAGGUGAGUGGAACUGCGAGUGUAGAGGUGAAAUUCGUAGAUAUUCGCAAGAACACCAGUGGCGAAGGCGGCUCACUGGCCCGAUACUGACGCUGAGGCACGAAGGCGUGGGGAGCAAACAGG